GACGAACGCUGGCGGCGUGCUUAACACAUGCAAGUCGAACGGAAAGGCCCUGCUUUUGUGGGGUGCUCGAGUGGCGAACGGGUGAGUAACACGUGAGUAACCUGCCCUUGACUUUGGGAUAACUUCAGGAAACUGGGGCUAAUACCGGAUAGGAGCUCCUGCUGCAUGGUGGGGGUUGGAAAGUUUCGGCGGUUGGGGAUGGACUCGCGGCUUAUCAGCUUGUUGGUGGGGUAGUGGCUUACCAAGGCUUUGACGGGUAGCCGGCCUGAGAGGGUGACCGGCCACAUUGGGACGGAGAUACGGCCCAGACUCCUACGGGAGGCAGAAGGGGGGAAUAUUGAACAAUGGGCGGAAGCCUGAUGCAGAAACGCCGCGUGCGGGAUGACGGCCUUCGGGUUGUAAACCGCUUUCGCCUGUGACGAAGCGUGGGUGACGGUAAUGGGUAAAGAAGCACCGGCUAACUACGU
rnacentral:rRNA from 1 species